GGCUUAUAUUCAGAGGUUUACGGUAUUUUCUCUAAUGCCAGACGAUUUUACUCUUCAAAGGUGAUAAUCAUAGAUAUCUAUAUUAACUAGAUAGCGCAUCUCUUUUAGUAAAAUUGAAGCCAAGAAUAGUACAGCGGUUACCCCCAUUUGAAUAGAUGGCGGCCAUGUUGGAGUUUCCCACUCGCUAAUAAACACUUAGAAAACAACAAUAACUUUCAUCAUUUGAAUAGUUUAAAAAUGUAUUUGGAAUAGGUUUAACUUCAUGUUUAAGUUCAUACAGUCUUCAAACAUACGAGUCUUCUAAUUUCAUCAGAAUAUCCUGAGUCUGCAAUCACGGCUUCAAUUUUUGAAUUGCAGAUUAAUGAGUCAUUAAUUAGAUGCACUAUCUAGUGUAUGUUAAUUAGAUGCACUAUCUAUGGUGAUAAUAUACAUACACUUCACUCAAUGGGUUAACCAGACAACUGCCCAGGCAUGUGUCUAUAAUUGCAGCCCCAUGUGCCCUACUUUUAUUUAUUUUACUUUGUCUAAUGCCAGACAGGUUUUACCUACCAAGAGGAGAGCACUGGCACUCAAUAGGGUAAGGGAUCAACAGACCAUUAGAAAAGUGAAGGAAGGUGGAAGAAUUUUUGCAAAAAUGCAAUAGUACACGUUAUGAUGGUGAAGGACUGUAUUUAUGAAUAAACGUUGACUAACGUAGAUAAUGAGAAAUAUUUAUAUUGUUAUUCUAAUUAAUUUUACAGCCGUCUUCCAUUUGUGGUAGGCUAUGGUUACGAUAGGUACACAGCUUCUAUAACUACAUGGUGUUUUUGUGUUGUCAGUGGUGUUUUUUGCCACAUGGUUGUAUGCAUUUUUCUGAAUUGUUUUGCUUGAUUCGAUUUUUUCCAUUCUGUUUCCCUGCACCCAGGGACGCCGGAACGGAGCGCCCCGUUGCCCUUUACCAGGAGGGGCAAGGGGGGCAAAGGUGCCCUUUCAAUUUAAAGGAUUGCCUUGGCGAAAUAGCGAUUGUCAGAAAUGUGAGUGCAAUUCUUUUACGAAAUUGCUUCAGAAAACGCAAGAAAUGCAGUCAUUGACCUUCAAGAAUUAGCACAAUCGCCUGGCGGAGAACCCCCUCACACCUCUAUCAUCCAAUAAAUAGAAAACAUGAUUAGGCGAAGUUCAACUCCCGAUGUUUUUUAAACAUCUCUUAGUAUAUAUCAAUUAAAAACUGCAAAUCUGCCCCCCUUGCCUUCACAUCGUUACGGCGUCCCUGCCUGCACCCAGCUUCACCUAGUUUCUAAUGGUCUGCCUCCAAUUAGAUAAAUAAAUGUACUGUAGUGUACAUAAUGAUAAUGUAUUUAUAAUAACCAUUAAUCCCCCAUUGACACUCCUUCAGAUGAGGGCCGCGGGUAUAGUGUAUAUAUAGAAAGGGUGCUAUAUACUUCGUGGCGUAACGAGGCGAAAUAUGAGUAGGCUGAAUGGGUGAUUGCAGCUAUGCCUGAUGGACGAAAUUUUGAUCUAGACAAGAAGUACGAAAUCCAACACCACACCUAGAAAGAGCAUCUUAAAAUGAGUAAAACUGCAGUUGCAAUUGCAGUUUGGUUGCGAAAUGUUUAAAAUGAGGAAAAUAUAGCUUUGUGAAAUUCGCAAAUUUUGUAAAUUUGCAUUUACGCGCGAGAAAAAUAAGCAUUUUUGAGCGGAAAGUGGUUAUUUUUACCGCGCCUAAUAAAAAUACAUACAAAAAUUUUAAAUCCAAUUGGCAAUAUGAAUUGAAUUAUUGACAAAACAACGUUAUGUUAGAAAAGAUUUCUUUCCAUGCGUGUUUUAAAAAGACUACUAUAACACAAUAAUACGGGUAAAACCUAGUUGCAAGCACAAUGGCUAAAGUUUGUUCGAGUUUUGAUAGUACAUGGUUCUCACGUAGACACCCAUCUAGGAUCAGCGUGUUACGAAAGUAUUAAAAAUAGUAUAAAAAUAGUUCAAUUUGCACCCCAGGUAACUAUAAAAUACCAGUUACGUCGAAUGGAGAGAUAAUGAGCAUUUUUGACGAAAAAUAAACAGAUAAAGUAUAUCUCAUUUCGGACGUGCGUAAAAAUGUCAAUUAUCUGUCAAUUACUCAUUAGGCAAGAUAGAUAACUCGUCAAUUUGUCAAAGAUGGACGAUAACCUUGCAUGGUGGGCUGUUGUGUUUACAUAAUUCAAAGUCCAAGGCUGGUUCUUCUCUGACAUGAAAAUGUGUAUGCUUAGGGCCUUUCUGUCAAUCAUUCUUCGGUAUAUUUCGCGCGGUUGAGUAAUGAUAACAUUACGUCAUCAAAAUCUUGGUUCAAUAAAAUUGUAAGUGAAUUUAGGU